rnacentral:lncRNA from 1 species
CCGUUUCGGCCCAAGACACCUUCGGCUUCGGGCGGCACAUCGGCGAAGGGGCGAGCGGCGACGAGGUGGACGGCGGCGGCGGCUUUGCGACGGAGCGAGGGGACAGGUAAGUCCGACCUCCAGCGAUCUCUGCAUUCCUCAGAGUACUUCCUUCAUUGGGGAGACCAAGUUUUGGUGCUAGGAGGUAGGAGCAAUCCUGCAUGCUGCACCGGCUGUCGGAUCCGUGAUUAUUCAUUAGGAGCAGGAUCCUGGUUGGAUGAAGCCUGGGGUGUUAAUUCCAUGAUGUCGUUAAAUUCAGCAACUCCUUGCUUUUAGGCACGAAAUAAAUGGUAGGGAUCGAUCCACAAAUCUUACACAAAUCAUCAUGAAAAAAAAAUCCUGUUCUGGAGGUGGUUGCAUUCUAGCCAACACAUUUACAAAUCAAAUGCCACUAAUACAAAUUGAUUGCGGUUAGCUUUUCAUCUAAUCAGUUCUACCUCUUUACACUGUAGUUGUAGCCUAAAUCUAGCAACCUCUUUCAAGUACCUGACUAGUUGAUCAACUCAAAUCAAGCCUUGUCAGAAGUUUGGACUUUCACUACCAAGGGCAUCGUCAGAUGAGCACCUCUUCCGUUUCCAUGCCAAGAUAAAGAGCCGAAAACAUAACCUCGAGGAGGCACAUUCACAUGGAAGCUAACUGUGAAAGUCUUCUUUGCACCGUAGUUCUCAAAGUUUAAAACUUCUGGUGUCACUGUUACGUUGAUGCCUCGAGGAGCAGACACCACAGCACGGUAAAUGCUCCUUGGAUUGCCCACAUUUGUCAUAGUUCGAGUAACUGAGUAGCUCCUCUUCAGGUGUGGUAUGGUAAUUGAUGGGUAGUUCAGAGCAGUAGCAGAAGAGGAGGUUCUGUGGGUGCAGGUACCGUUGUCUCCGGUUAUUAGAUGCAAGGAGUGGUCGUCAUGGCUUAUAGCACAUAAGAAUGACCUGUAAUCUUCAGGUUGUGCAUCAAAUAUGACCCCUGGGUUCAGAGCUUUGAUGGGAUCCAUGAAACCCGAGCCGAAGUCGAAGGGGGUUGCAGCCUUUCCAUCAGGGUCCGUGGCUAUGGUUCUUCUUUUCUUAUCCAGUACAGUUGCUGCAAAUGAUAUUCAUCAGAUUGGUUGUAACACUAGUUUAUCUUCUGAAUCUGGUUAUCCAGUGAUACCUGUUGUCAUGAUUGCUGAUUUGAUGGCUGAAGGAUUCCAUGAUGGAUAUACACUUUUGACUAGUGCCGCUAUUCCUGUGACAUGAGGACAUGCCAUGGAAGUUCCUGAUAGAAUAUUGAAGUGCAUGUUCUUCUUAGCAGGAGACCAAGCUGCCAAGAUGUUCAGCCCAGGAGCAGCGACAUCCGGCUACAAAAUGCAUACAUGGAGAAGAAAGUAAUGAAUAUGUCAGUCAAUUUAUCACCUAGGUUCGUCUAUCCAGCAGUUUAGUACUGGUUACCUUGAGAAUCUCAGGUGUUAAUGAACUUGGACCUCUUGAAGAGAAUGCUGCUACCCGUGGUCCAUAUCUCAACCUUAUGAUCGUCUUUGCUGGCAAGAUCUUUGUACUGGCAUGCCUGCAAAAUUAAUUUUAGAGAAAAGACUGGCAUACUAAUAAAUUGCACUUUCUAUAGUAAGCGUUAACAACCUCGUACUCUUGAUGUAAGAAAGAAUUUUGUCACCCAUUUCUUUCCCAACAGCAGUUCCAGGAACAGCAAAGUGAGUAGCAACAUGAUCCCCCAUCUCAUCAAUGAGAAUCAUCCCAGCUGCACCAGCUUCCUUAACAAUCAUACUCGUUGAUAGGCGAGAUUCAGAGGAGCCUCCAGUACGGCGGCAAAUAAGAAUCUUUCCUCUGGCCUUGGUCCUAUUUAAAGAGCUGUCCAGACAAAAGCUAACAGCAAAGGCCACAAAAAAUUCAGUUUGCUCAUAAUCUAAGUCAAGAUUUUCGUUCAAGAUUGUUCUUUGCUUUACCUGGAUUGGUAGGGGGUGAAAUAGCCCGCAUUGGCUUCUGAAGCCGGAAUAGUUCUAACAGAAGUUUUCAUGUGGUACGUACUCAAGCUCUCACCCUUUGCAUCAAGACAACAAUGUUCAGAAGGUAUUCUUAAGAUUGCAUAAGAAAUAAAGAUUGAAGGUGGCAUUUAAGAAUGAAAAUUACCAUUAUGAAGGUGCCAUUUUCCAGUCUGAUAUAUGAGACAAAGGAUCUAUCGGUUGUUCCUGCAGCUACUGUGAGCAUCCAUGGUGCAAGGUUAGUUGCUGAGCCCUGUCUCCCAGCAUUCCCUGCAGAAGAAACAACCAGUAUUCCAUUGCUUGUUGCAUGGAAUGAGCCGAUGGAUAUGGCAUCCCUGAAAUAGUCAUCCUGAGGAUAGUCUGGGCCUAGAGACACAGAUAUAAUGUCAACACCAUCUCUGAUGGCAUCAUCAAAUGCUGCAAGAAUGUCGACAUCGUAACAUCCAGAAUCCCAGCAGGCCUUAUAGGCAGCAAUCCUUGACAUGGGAGCUCCUCCCCGGCCUCCUCCUGUGCCCAAACCUCCAUAAUUCAUGUUUCUGACAAAUCUUCCAGCUGCUAUUGAGGCAGUAUGGCUGCCAUGCCCUGAGCUAUCUCUUGGAGAUAUGAAUUUGAUGGCGUUUUUACUUGAAUCGCCCUCUUCUGUUUGGUAUCCAUUGAGGUAAUACCUACCUCCUAUGAUCUUCCUAUCGUAUCAGGGUAGAUGGGUGAGUUCAGAAGAUCAAUACUGGAUAUUGUGGGUUAAUUUUGAAGCGUGUACCUGUUACAGGUGAAAUUAGAUGGUGAAUUUGCCUCUCCUCUUUGGCAUUGCCCUCUCCAUCUUUUAGGAAUUGGAGGCAUCCCAUGAUCACUGAAACUAGGGGAUUCUGGCCAAAUUCCUGGGAAGGUACAUACACUUGCAUAAAUAAACGGCUAGCUAACAUCUCAUGAUUUUGACAGAAAUGAUUCUGUCAAUCUGAUGGCAUCCUUUUUGUUUCUACCAUUAUGGCCAAACAAUCAUUUGAUGUGUAAGUUGAGCAUGACAGCACAAACAUCAUUUGGUAGGAAAAUAUGCAUGCUUGUUCGGCAUAGAAACAAAUUCUAUUGCAAGUUGCAAUACUGAUAUGUCUUGUCAGUUUGUAGGCUAGCAUACAACUGGAAUUAUUGAUGGAAGAGAAUGUUUUUGGUGCAGUGAUGCUUACAAUGGAAAGAACACAACAAAUAUUCACACUGACCUAAAGAUGUCGAUGCAAUUUGAACUGAGCAUGCUAUUGCAGUUCUACUCACCUGUGUCAAUGAACCCAACAAUGACAUUCUCCUGGUUCUUGGUAGACAAUCCAGGGACCUCACCCUCUGCAUUGGUGGACAAGCCCAUGAAAUCCCACGAAUGGGUGGUGUGCAGUCUCCUCUUUGUGUUUGGGAACACCGAGAAGACACCAGGCAUCUCUGAAGGAAUGAACAUCAGAUUUAGAUUUUCGGCAUCACAGCCAUAUCACCCAGUGGACUCACUUACUAUAGUGCUGCAUGCAUAUUCCUAAAGGUAAAAGCCAAGUGUGGCGAAAUUACCGGCUAAUUUCAUGGCUUGUUCUUUGUUCAGUUUGGCCGCGAAUCCUUGGAAACCGCUGCUGUAAGUGUAGACAUGUGAUGCCUGUGCCUUCUCCAAGCUGUGGAGAGAGACGAAGCAACCAGUCAAGCUUAUAACUCCACUGGAAGCUAGAGUGAUAUCGACAGCUAAGGAAUGGAUAUGAUUUUUUUUCCACGGACCUUCCAUCGUGAACAGCAGCCAGCAUCUGGUAGUGAAGCCUCCUGGUGUCGUGUUGAAGAUCACUGUCGCCCUGCAACCCCUUGCCCAUGUAAACCACAUACACCUGAAGUUGACAUCCAUUUGGAAAGGGUUACACCAUGGGAAGACCUCAAGAACUCAUGAAGAGACCGGCAUAGAAGAGUUAGCAAGCAUGGAGACAAUCCAAUGAAGCAAUGGAGUGCAUCGGAGUAGGCAAAACAGACCUGAGAACCAGAACAGCAGUGGAGGUCACCUAGUAGCACCAGAAAGAGCACGAGGAAGAACACGGCUCUGCCGGGAGAAGAAGCCAUCACAAACUCGCAGACGCACACAGGUGCGCAGAUACGAAGGCAAAGGGAAGGACUGCGGUUUGGAUGGCAAGUGUAUAGGACCAGUUUUGUAUGGAAGCAGCAACUUCCUGAAACUGCUGCCAACUUACUGGAUGCCUGUCAGCAUAAAAGCUUGAGAUCUCUAAAUGCUUUGUACAGGAAUCCCGGAGGAAUGGGUGUCCGUUAACUGCGCUUUUCCUCGUCCCUGCCACUCGCAGUUGUGGACAAGAUGGCAACAAGUUUACAUAAAUGAAGUCAAGGGUGUUGAAAGCGUCAUGAUGCGGUAUGGGUCUAUGGGAACCAUGGAGGCUUAGCUACUGAGAGCAUGACAAAUAGGGUAUCCGAUCUUGGGGAUACAUGAACAUGUAGAAUGGCUGCUUUCGUAGAUAUACCUGUAGAUAUGGGGUAUAAUAGUAUAUAUCCAAUCUUGGCUGUGCCUACUGCCUAUACAGAAAAAUAAAGGGAUACAAGGAGUAUCUUUCUGUCAGACUUGGAUCUGUUUUUACCUUCACUUUUGCAAGAGAAAUUAACUGUAACUUAUGGUACAUGCUUUAUUUUAACCUGUGUAUACAUCUAGUCAAGUUAACAGUAUUAUACACUGAUACAAUAUACACUGCAGAGGGUACUCAUGGUUGCUUUAGUAUCCUGUAUGUAUAAAACACAGUGCAGCAUCAAAUCCAACCCCAACGGGCACGGUUCCUUUCUGAUAAAGCGCGGAUGCCUCUCAAGACGACGUCUCUAUCCGUCUAGGAACAGUGUGUCCACCUCUAUCUGGGUGCCGGUAGCCAAGCCACGCACUUGGCCAUGGAUGGGCACUUGUGCCAGCGACCAAAGGUAGCACCUCCUCUUUUUACCUUUGCCACGGCACCUUUCACUGCUAGCUUGUUUUUUAACCAGGUAACCGUUAUUUUAUUUCUUUCUUUAUUUACUCGUUGCGGCCACGGGCCACGUCAGGGUGCAAAGGCAAGUGGCAGCUGAGCCGAUCAUCGUGUGAUCGCAUCGCACCAUGGUAAAACUUUGCGCGCAGAUUUCCUGCGUGCUCAACCUGAGGAACAGAACCCCUCUGGGCUCCUGAUUUGUCAGCUUAAAGCUCAACAAAGCUCUCGACUCUCGCUCUAUGAUUAAUUAAUCCAACCCAAGCAGCCUAAUCCCGUACCAGAGGCACGUAUGUAUGAGGCUCUAUUUGAACUCUUUGGCUGCUUUACUGAGUGCACGCCACGGCGGCCGGCUUGCUUUACCGCUUAGCCCUGUGUGGGUUUCACCUUUCACGAUGGUCACACACGCUUGGCGCUGUGAAAACUGAAAAACCAACGGUCCGCCGCCAGCACAAUAUCCUUUGCGACCGGAGAAGAAGGGUCGCUCGGAUCCGAGGUAAGCAUAGAGCCAUCGAAGCUUAGCACGCAGAACAAUCCGUCGUUCUUGUUGUAGAGAGCGUCGCGGUAGCCGCUGUCCCAUUUGAGAGUUUGGUCGGUGAUCUGAGUCCACUUAUCGUCGCCGAUGUGGGCAAAGGAUAUCUGACCAUCCGGUCGGUGCAGGAGCAGGACGAUGCGGUCCCUCACCUUGGAGGGGCUGCAGGACAUGGCCACCUUGUAGUACAAGAACAGGCGCAGCUUCUGGGCCUGUUCGCUUCAGCUUAUUCAGCUGGCUUAUCAGCCACUAAACAGUGUUUUCCUCUCACAACAAAUCAGCCGUUUCAGCUUUUCAGCCGGCUUAUAAGCUGAAGCGAACAGGCCAUCUGUGCCGGGUACCGGACCGGGUCGUCGGGGUCCUCGCCCUCCUGGACGCUGUAUUCGAGACUCCCCUGUUCAUCCACAGAGCUCUCGACAUGGUAGAGCGCCAUGACGGGCGGGAGCGCGACCUGCGCGCCCGUCAGGGGGUUGACGAGGUGGAGGUUGGACGCCUCGUCGGCUGCGGCGAGCCAGCCGUGCGAGGACCCGACCAGCGCGCGGCUGCCCAGCGGCGGGUCCGGCAGGCGGACCUUGAACGCCUUGCCGCCGCUCGAGGGGCUGUAGAGCGUGGCGUCGCUGGCGUCGCCGUUGUCGCGAGCCGAGUAGAGGAGGCAUGGUGCCGCGUCCGUGAUGGGGAUGCGGACGCGGCGGACGUCGGAGUAGGCGGCGUACCAGGAGGAGCAGACGGUGCCGGCGCGGAACAGGUCAGGGAUGUCCAGCGCCCGCAUCACCGUCGCCACCAUCUCCUGGGGAAGGCCCGCCCAAUCCGGGUACAACGUCGCCAUGGUAUGCGCCCAGGGCCGGGCGCGAGCCGCCGGCGGCGGAUUAUUUUGUGGGUGGAUCGAGGAGCUCAACCUACCCCCUAGGCUACCUCGAAAGGGGAUUGGGAAAAAAAUCCGUGCUUUGGUGGAACUCAUCGGCCGGCGCCGCCGCUGCCGUUACUGGAUUUACUAGAGUCGGGGGCGCGCCGCUGGCGCGCCAAUUUUACGUGCCUGCUGAGAAUCCAUCAUACUACUAAUGACACAGUAACUACUCCUAAUCAAUAGUUAUGUUACUACUAAUGACACAAUUAGUAACUAAUCAAUAGUUAUGUACUACAAAUGCUAAUGACCGUCCGGUUUGAGGUGGUAUUUGAAAUUGAACAAUUAUGGGGGUGGCUUUGCUCAGGAGAAACACAGUGGCCACAUCGGAUCGGCUUCAGUUCAUAUAACUUGCAUGAAAAUUUUGUAACAGGUUGAACAAUGCAAGGAUGUGCGAUUGUCGCGGAGAUCGACGAUCUCUUUUUCUAAACAGAACAACCACGAAUCAAGCCCUGUUCAAGGUAGCCAUUGUGUGAAUCAAGUGCAAAUGUGAGGGUCACUUUUACCUGUAGUAAAAUAUCUACUGCAUCUGCAUGGACCAAAC